AGCAGAAACAGUGUUCGAUGCAUGAACCUGCCGGGAUCAAAGUUUUCAAGACUUCAAGAACACAUCCUCAUGGAUGAGAAUGUCGACAGGAGUGGUGUGGGAAAGAGCUAAUUGAUGACUUCUCGCUAAGUGAUGAGAGAGACUAAUAUCAAAGGGGACCAAUUUUUGAAAUGAUGACCAAUGGAUGACUGAUGUUGAGCGGAAAAGACACUUCUACUUUCAUUUAUAUUAAUUAAAAUUACAAUAAUUUUAUGCGUAUUUCUGCUGUCCAAAAAAAUUUUGUGUAUUUUUUUUUAAUAUUAAUUUUUUGUAACCAGAAUGUUAUGUGCUUUUUAUUAUUAUCGUAAUUAGUUUUUUAAUAUUAACUAAAAUUAUUGUAGUUCUCACAUAAGGUAUAAGGAGAAUUUUU
rnacentral:misc_RNA from 1 species